rnacentral:rRNA from 1 species
UACGAAGGGUGCAAGCGUUACUCGGAAUUACUGGGCGUAAAGCGUGCGUAGGUGGUUUUUUAAGUCCGUUGUGAAAGCCCUGGGCUCAACCUGGGAAUGGCAGUGGAUACUGGAAAGCUAGAGUGCGGUAGAGGGUAGUGGAAUUUACGGUGUAGCGGUGAAAUGCGUAGAUAUCGUAAGGAAGACCAGUGGCGAAGGCGGGUCUCUGGACAGUUCCUGACGCUGAGGCACGAAAGUGUGGGGAUCAAACAGG